rnacentral:tRNA from 1 species
GCCGCGACUGGGUAUUGGGGAACCCAGCGGCCUGCUAUGCCGUGGCCGUCUGCUACCGGUCUCCCGGUUCGAAUCUGGGUCGCGGCG